rnacentral:rRNA from 1 species
CCUACGGGGCGCAGCAGUAGGGAAUCUUCCACAAUGGGCGCAAGCCUGAUGGAGCAACACCGCGUGAGUGAAGAAGGGUUUCGGCUCGUAAAACUCUGUUGCUGGAGAAGAACGUGCGCGAGAGUAAAUGGUCACGCAGUGACGGUAUCCCACCAGAAAGUCACGGCUAACUACGUGCCAGCAGCCGCGGUAAUACGUAGGUGGCAAGCGUUAUCCGGAUUUAUUGGGCUUAAAGGGGGCGCAGGCGGU